rnacentral:rRNA from 1 species
UUGUGAGGUUAAGCGACUAAGCGUACACGGUGGAUGCCCUGGCAGUCAGAGGCGAUGAAGGACGUGCUAAUCUGCGAUAAGCGUCGGUGAGGUGAUAUGAACCGUUAUAACCGGCGAUUUCCGAAUGGGGAAACCCAGUGUGUUUCGACACACUAUCAUUAACUGAAUCCAUAGGUUAAUGAGGCGAACCGGGGGAACUGAAACAUCUAAGUACCCCGAGGAAAAGAAAUCAACCGAGAUUCCCCCAGUAGCGGCGAGCGAACGGGGAGGAGCCCAGAGCCUGAAUCAGUGUGUGUGUUAGUGGAAGCGUCUGGAAAGGCGCGCGAUACAGGGUGACAGCCCCGUACACAAAAAUGCACAUAUUGUGAGCUCGAUGAGUAGGGCGGGACACGUGGUAUCCUGUCUGAAUAUGGGGGGACCAUCCUCCAAGGCUAAAUACUCCUGACUGACCGAUAGUGAACCAGUACCGUGAGGGAAAGGCGAAAAGAACCCCGGCGAGGGGAGUGAAAAAGAACCUGAAACCGUGUACGUACAAGCAGUGGGAGCCUCUUAAUGGGGUGACUGCGUACCUUUUGUAUAAUGGGUCAGCGACUUAUAUUCUGUAGCAAGGUUAACCGAAUAGGGGAGCCGAAGGGAAACCGAGUCUUAACUGGGCGUUAAGUUGCAGGGUAUAGACCCGAAACCCGGUGAUCUAGCCAUGGGCAGGUUGAAGGUUGGGUAACACUAACUGGAGGACCGAACCGACUAAUGUUGAAAAAUUAGCGGAUGACUUGUGGCUGGGGGUGAAAGGCCAAUCAAACCGGGAGAUAGCUGGUUCUCCCCGAAAGCUAUUUAGGUAGCGCCUCGUGAAUUCAUCUCCGGGGGUAGAGCACUGUUUCGGCAAGGGGGUCAUCCCGACUUACCAACCCGAUGCAAACUGCGAAUACCGGAGAAUGUUAUCACGGGAGACACACGGCGGGUGCUAACGUCCGUCGUGAAGAGGGAAACAACCCAGACCGCCAGCUAAGGUCCCAAAGUCAUGGUUAAGUGGGAAACGAUGUGGGAAGGCCCAGACAGCCAGGAUGUUGGCUUAGAAGCAGCCAUCAUUUAAAGAAAGCGUAAUAGCUCACUGGUCGAGUCGGCCUGCGCGGAAGAUGUAACGGGGCUAAACCAUGCACCGAAGCUGCGGCAGCGACGCUUAUGCGUUGUUGGGUAGGGGAGCGUUCUGUAAGCCUGUGAAGGUGUGCUGUGAGGCAUGCUGGAGGUAUCAGAAGUGCGAAUGCUGACAUAAGUAACGAUAAAGCGGGUGAAAAGCCCGCU